UCCGAGUUGACCCCGGCAGUCUCCCACGAGUCCCCGCCAUUACGCGCUGGCAACAUAGAACGAGGGUUGCGCUCGUUGCGGGACUUAACCCAACAUCUCACGACGCGAGCUGACGACAGCCAUGCACCACCUGUAUGGAGCCCAAAAGGACCUCACAUCUCUGUGAGUUUUCCCCAUAUGUCAAACUCAGGUAAGGUUCUUCGCGUUGCAUCGAAUUAAUCAGCAUGCUCCGCCGCUUGUGCGGGCCCCCGUCAAUUCCUUUGAGUUUUAGCCUUGCGGCCGUACUCCCCAGGCGGGGCGCUUAAUGCGUUAGCUACGGUACCAAGGAAUCGCUUCCCCAACACCUAGUCGACAUCGUUUAGGGCGUGGACUAC
rnacentral:misc_RNA from 1 species